rnacentral:tRNA from 1 species
GGCGGGAUAGCUCAGUUGGUAGAGCACACGACUGAAAAUCGUGGUGUCCCCAGUUCGAAUCUGGGUCCCGCCA